UGUGACAUACCUAUAACGUUGCCUCGGCGGGAACAGACGGCCCCGUAACACGGGCCGCCCCCGCCAGAGGACCCCCUAACUCUGUUUCUAUAAUGUUUCUUCUGAGUAAACAAGCAAAUAAAUUAAAACUUUCAACAACGGAUCUCUUGGCUCUGGCAUCGAUGAAGAACGCAGCGAAAUGCGAUAAGUAAUGUGAAUUGCAGAAUUCAGUGAAUCAUCGAAUCUUUGAACGCACAUUGCGCCCGCCAGUAUUCUGGCGGGCAUGCCUGUUCGAGCGUCAUUACAACCCUCAGGCCCCCGGGCCUGGCGUUGGGGAUCGGCGGAAGCCCCCUGCGGGCACAACGCCGUCCCCCAAAUACAGUGGCGGUCCCGCCGCAGCUUCCAUUGCGUAGUAGCUAACACCUCGCAACUGGAGAGCGGCGCGGCCACGCCGUAAAACACCCAACUUCUGAAUGUUGACCUCGAAUCAGGUAGGAAUACCCGCUGAACUUAAGCAUAUCAA
rnacentral:rRNA from 1 species